GACGAACGCUGGCGGCGUGCCUAAUACAUGCAAGUUGAGCGCUGAAGGUUGGUACUUGUACCAACUGGAUGAGCAGCGAACGGGUGAGUAACGCGUGGGGAAUCUGCCUUUGAGCGGGGGACAACAUUUGGAAACGAAUGCUAAUACCGCAUAAAAACUUUAAACACAAGUUUUAAGUUUGAAAGAUGCAAUUGCAUCACUCAAAGAUGAUCCCGCGUUGUAUUAGCUAGUUGGUGAGGUAAAGGCUCACCAAGGCGAUGAUACAUAGCCGACCUGAGAGGGUGAUCGGCCACAUUGGGACUGAGACACGGCCCAAACUCCUACGGGAGGCAGCAGUAGGGAAUCUUCGGCAAUGGACGAAAGUCUGACCGAGCAACGCCGCGUGAGUGAAGAAGGUUUUUGGAUCGUAAAACUCUGUUGGUAGAGAAGAACGUUGGUGAGAGUGGAAAGCUCAUCAAGUGACGGUAACUACCCAGAAAGGGACGGCUAACUACGUG
rnacentral:rRNA from 1 species